UACGUAGGGGGCUAGCGUUGUCCGGAAUCAUUGGGCGUAAAGCGCGUGUAGGCGGUCCGGUAAGUCCGCUGUGAAAGUCGGGGGGCUCAACCCUCGGAUGCCGGUGGAUACUGUCGGGCUUGAGUACGGAAGAGGCGAGUGGAAUUCCUGGUGUAGCGGUGGAAUGCGUAGAGAUCGGGAAGAACAUCGGUGGCGAAGGCGGUCUGCUGGGCCGUUGCUGACGCUGAGGCGCGACAGCGUGGGGAGCAAACAGG
rnacentral:rRNA from 1 species